rnacentral:rRNA from 1 species
CCUACGGGUGGCAGCAGUGAGGAAUAUUGGUCAAUGGGCGGGAGCCUGAACCAGCAAAGUCGCGUGAGGGAUGAAGGCCCUAUGGGUUGUAAACCUCUUUUGCCGGGGAGCAAAGUGGCGCACGUGUGCGGUUUGGUGAGUACCCGGAGAAAAAGCAUCGGCAAACACCGUGCCAGCAGCCGCGGUAAUACGGGGGAUGCGAGCGUUAUCCGGUUUUAUUGGGUUUGAAGGGUGCGUAGGCGGACGCUUAAGUCAGCGCUAAAGUUGCGGGGCUCAACCUCGUCGAGCCGUUGAAACUGGGUGCCUUGAGUGGGCGAGAAGUACGUGGAAUGCGUGGUGUAGCGGUGAAAUGCAUAGAUAUCACGCAGAACUCCGAUUGCGAAGGCAGCGUACCGGCUCCACACUGACGCUGAGGCACGAAAGCGUGGGUAUCGAACAGGAUUAGAUACCCGGGUAGUC